rnacentral:tRNA from 1 species
UGUUCAAUGCGGGAAUCGAACCCGGGUCGUAGUGGUCGAAAACCAAACGGUUUAACCAGCCUUCCACCGAACCC